AACGAACGCUGGCGGCAUGCCUAACACAUGCAAGUCGAACGUGAUCCUGGGUUUCGGCCUGGGUGAAAGUGGCAGACGGGUGAGUAACGCGUGGGAACCUGCCCUGUGGUAGGGAAUAACUGCGGGAAACUGCGGCUAAUACCCUAUGUGCCCUGAGGGGCAAAGAUUUAUCGCCAUGGGAGGGGCCCGCGUCGGAUUAGGUAGUUGGUGGGGUAACGGCCCACCAAGCCUUCGAUCCGUAGCUGGUCUGAGAGGAUGAUCAGCCACACUGGGACUGAGAUACGGCCCAGACUCCUACGGGAGGCAGCAGUGGGGAAUAUUGGACAAUGGGGGCAACCCUGAUCCAGCAAUGCCGCGUGGGUGAUGAAGGCCUUCGGGUUGUAAAGCCCUUUCGGCGGGGAAGAUGAUGACGGUACCCGCAGAAGAAGCCCCGGCUAACUUCGUGCCAGCCGCCGCAGUAAAAC
rnacentral:rRNA from 1 species